AUUGAACGCUGGCGGCAUGCCUUACACAUGCAAGUCGAACGGCAGCACGGGAGCAAUCCUGGUGGCGAGUGGCGAACGGGUGAGUAAUAUAUCGGAACGUGCCCGGUCGUGGGGAUAACGUAGCGAAAGCUACGCUAAUACCGCAUACGAUCUACGGAUGAAAGCGGGGGAUCGCAAGACCUCGCGCGAUUGGAGCGGCCGAUAUCAGAUUAGGUAGUUGGUGAGGUAAAGGCUCACCAAGCCGACGAUCUGUAGCUGGUCUGAGAGGACGACCAGCCACACUGGGACUGAGACACGGCCCAGACUCCUACGGGAGGCAGCAGUGGGGAAUUUUGGACAAUGGCGCAAGCCUGAUCCAGCAAUGCCGCGUGCAGGA
rnacentral:rRNA from 1 species